GAUGAACGCUGGCGGCGUGCUUAACACAUGCAAGUCGAACGAAGCACCUUGAUUCGAUUCUUCGGAUGAAGAUCUUGGUGACUGAGUGGCGGACGGGUGAGUAACGCGUGGGUAACCUGCCUCAUACAGGGGGAUAACAGUUAGAAAUGACUGCUAAUACCUCAUAAGACCACAGCACCGCAUGGUGCAUGGGUAAAAACUCCGGUGGUAUGAGAUGGACCCGCGUCUGAUUAGGUAGUUGGUGGGGUAACGGCCUACCAAGCCGACGAUCAGUAGCCGACCUGAGAGGGUGACCGGCCACAUUGGGACUGAGACACGGCCCAAACUCCUACGGGAGGCAGCAGUGGGGAAUAUUGCACAAUGGGGGAAACCCUGAUGCAGCGACGCCGCGUGAGCGAUGAAGUAUUUCGGUAUGUAAAGCUCUAUCAGCAGGGAAGAAAAUGACGGUACCUGACUAAGAAGCACCGGCUAAAUACGUG
rnacentral:rRNA from 1 species